rnacentral:rRNA from 1 species
GGAAUAUUGGACAAUGGGGGCAACCCUGAUCUAGCCAUGCCGCGUGAGUGACGAAGGCCUUAGGGUCGUAAAGCUCUUUCGCCUGUGAUGAUAAUGACAGUAGCAGGUAAAGAAACCCCGGCUAACUCCGUGCCAGCAGCCGCGGUAAUACGGAGGGGGUUAGCGUUGUUCGGAAUUACUGGGCGUAACGCGCGCGGAGGCGGAUUGGAAAGUAUGGGGUGAAAUCCCAGGGCUCAACCCUGGAACGGCCUCAUAAACUUCCAGUCUGGAGUUCGAGAGAGGUGAGUGGAAUUCCGAGUGGAGAGGUGAAAUUCGUAGAUAUUCGGAGGAACACCAGUGGCGAAGGCGGCUCACUGGCUCGAUACUGACGCUGAGGUGCGAAAGUGUGGGGAGCAAA